rnacentral:snRNA from 1 species
AUGCUCACUUUGGCAGCACAUAUACUAAAAUUGGAACGACAGAGAAGAUUAACAUGGUCCCUGCACAAGGAUGACACACAAAUUCGUAAAGUGUGUCAUAUUAAA